rnacentral:rRNA from 1 species
GCGAAGGCAGCUUGCUGGACUGUAACUGACGNUGAGGCACGAAAGCGUGGGGAUCAAACAGGAUUAGAUACCNUGNUANNNCACGCCNUAAACGAUGAAUGCUAGCUGUUAGCGAUAUACUGUUAGCGGCACAGAGAAAUCGUUAAGCAUUCCACCUGGGGAGUACGCCGGCAACGGUGAAACUCAAAGGAAUUGACGGGGGCCCGCACAAGCGGAGGAACAUGUGGUUUAAUUCGAUGAUACGCGAGGAACCUUACCUGGGCUUAAAUUGCAGUGGAAUAACGUGGAAACAUGUUAGCCUUCGGGCCGCUGUGAAGGUGCUGCAUGGUUGUCGUCAGCUCGUGCCGUGAGGUGUCGGCUUAAGUGCCAUAACGAGCGCAACCCUCAUCGAUAGUUACUAACAGGUUAAGCUGAGGACUCUAUCGAGACUGCCGACGUAAGUCGUGAGGAAGGUGGGGAUGACGUCAAAUCAGCACGGCCCUUACGUCCAGGGCUACACACGUGUUACAAUGGGGGGUACAAAGGGCAGCUACCUGGCGACAGGAUGCUAAUCUCAAAAACCUCUCUCAGUUCGGAUUGGAGUCUGCAACCCGACUCCAUGAAGCUGGAUUCGCUAGUAAUCGCGCAUCAGCCACGGCGCGGUGAAUACGUUCCCGGGCCUUGUACACACCGCCCGUCAAGCCAUGGGAGCCGGGGGGACCUGAAGUAUGCAACCGUAAGGAGCGUCCUAGGGUAAAACUGGUGACUGGGGCU